rnacentral:lncRNA from 1 species
CUGAGGAUUCAUUCUAACCUUCUUCCUUUUUUUAUUUGUAAUUUUUUCCCCCAAAUUGAGAAAUUAGCUGUAAACUAUUUGCAAUAUAUUUACUUAGUUUUUCCUCUAAGUAUAUGAACAGCUUUGAAAUUCCUAAUGCUAGGCUUUGUGACAAACAGGUUUAUCAUCUAGAGUAUAGUGUGUGUGUGUGCAUGGACUUUAGCUUCACAGUAUCCUAUCUAAACGUUUCCAAAUCUUUUGGUAUAUGAUAUUGUAGGUAGUGUCAUAUGGUGGGUGUAUGUUAACUUUUAAGAAGCUGCCAAAUGAUUUUCCAAAAUGACUAUACCAUUUUGCUAUUUCUACCAGCAGCGUAUGAGACUUCCAAUUGAUCUGGAUCUUUGCCAGUGCUUUGUAUUGUCAGAUUUUUAAAAUAAAUGACCUAGACUCAAAAUUUGAAUUUAGCAGACAAUAUAGAACACCCAGUUAAAUCAGAAUUUCAUGUAAAUAAGUAUUUUUUAGUAUAAAUGUGUCCCCAGCAUUACCUAGAACGUAUUUAUACUAAAAACUCUUUAUCUGAUGUUUUGGGGGCUCUGUUUAGAGGCCACCUAUUCUCAGACCUCAGCAUGGCUCCAAAAGGAUCAGAGCUCUUUGCCAAAGAAAUGUUCAAAUAUCCAUGAAGAAAGGGGAGAAGAAAUUCAGAGGUCCUCAGAUGAUCUGGAGAUGACCUGGCUUACAGUAGUACUGAAUCUGGAACUCAUCAGACCUGCUGUUUUUCAUGCCCUGCACAGCAACCCAGGGGACUGACUUGCCCAAGGUCCUCCUGUAAAUGGAAUCGCUAGAAGCAGACCCUGAAUCCCUCACCUCUUCAUGGUGAGUGCUUAAUGUCCACCUUGGACUGGGGCUGUGUCCUAUUUUCUUAAGAGGGUCUACUAGAACAGAUAUUUCUAGCUUAAUGUUUAUAGUCAGAGAAGGUAGAAACGAACAAAAACAAUAAUCACAACACGAGGGUCUCCAGUUCUAAGGAAACUGUUGUCAGCGUUGAGGUCUGUAAUAGCCACUUGUAAAUGUGUAAUGGGAAAGGAGUGGGACUUGUGGCUGAUGUCAGCAGGGCAGCUUUUGUCAGAAGCUGCUCUUUUUGCUUUUCCUUUAGAAGCCAGAUCUGAAAGACCCAUUUUCCUCAGAAUUUCUGCUCCGAGGUAAGGCUGGAGGCCUCCUUUCACUCCUACAGUUCAUUUAGGCUGCACUCAGGGUGGUUUCCAAUCAGCAUGGAAACAUUUGUACCUUG